rnacentral:rRNA from 1 species
UACGAAGGGGGCUAGCGUUGCUCGGAAUUACUGGGCGUAAAGAGCGUGUAGGCGGCCAGAUAAGUCCGCUGUGAAAUCUCGAGGCUCAACUUCGAGCUGUCGGUGGAAACUAUCUGGCUAGAGUCCGGAAGAGGAGAAUGGAAUUCCUGGUGUAGCGGUGAAAUGCGCAGAUAUCAGGAAGAACACCCGUGGCGAAGGCGGUUCUCUGGGACGGUAGCUGACGCUGAGACGCGAAAGCGUGGGGAGCGAACAGG